UACGAAGGGAGCUAGCGUUGUUCGGAAUCACUGGGCGUAAAGCGCACGUAGGCGGAUUGCUAAGUCAGGGGUGAAAUCCUGGAGCUCAACUCCAGAACUGCCUUUGAUACUGGCAAUCUCGAGUCCGGGAGAGGCGAGUGGAACUGCGAGUGUAGAGGUGAAAUUCGUAGAUAUUCGCAAGAACACCAGUGGCGAAGGCGGCUCACUGGCCCGGUACUGACGCUGAGGUGCGAAAGCGUGGGGAGCAAACAGG
rnacentral:rRNA from 1 species